rnacentral:lncRNA from 1 species
GAAAAAGGUUGAUUCAUUAUGAAACUAGUUGUAUUGCUUGGGUUGUUAUUCACAACCCUAAUUAGCCGAUCUGAAGCAAAAAUAACUGUUGUAAUUCAAAAUGCCAUACCUGGUGGAAGAAGUUAUAUGCACUGUUUUUCCGGAGAUGAUGAUCUUGGGUAUCAUGACCUUGGAUCCAACGAAACUUUCACGUUUCAUUUCCAUUUAGACUUUUUUGGAACUACAAAAUUUUACUGCUACUUUAAAACAUCUUAUGGUUUUGGAGCGUAUGGCGUUUUCACAAUUAGACUGCUCCACAUGUGUGGGAGUUAUUGUCACUGGUUCGUAACGCCGAAAGGCCCAUGUUUACACCGUACAUAUGGUGAUUUAUAUUGUCAACCAUGGAAGAAUGGUAAGUCCCUGCCCGAAGCAUUACAGCUUAGUAAUUAAGGCUAUAAAUGUUGUAAUCUUUAUCCUAUUAGAAUUCCAGUUACUUAUUGGCACCAGACUACAUCCUUAUGCUUCUCAUUGAUGAAUUGAAUAAAAAUAGUCUAUUACUGUUACUGUGUAAGAAAUAUUAAAUGAUUAGUACUUCAAAGUCGUAG